UGGGGAAUAUUGGACAAUGGGGGAAACCCUGAUCCAGCGACGCCGCGUGUGUGAAGAAGGCCUGCGGGUUGUAAAGCACUUUUAGUGGGGAUGAAAAGUCCAGGGCUAAUAUCCCUGGGUCUUGACCUAACCCAAAGAAAAAGCACCGGCUAACUCUGUGCCAGCAGCCGCGGUAAUACAGAGGGUGCGAGCGUUAAUCGGAAUUACUGGGCGUAAAGCGUGCGUAGACGGUUAGAUAAGUCGGGUGUGAAAGCCCCGGGCUCAACCUGGGAAUUGCAUUCGAGACUGUUUAGCUAGGGUACGGAAGAGGGAAGCGGAAUUUCAGGUGUAGCGGUGAAAUGCGUAGAUAUCUGAAGGAACACCAGUGGCGAAAGCGGCUUCCUGGUCCAGUACCGACGUUCAGGCACGAAAGCGUGGGGAGCAAACAGGAUUAGAUACCCUGGUAGUCCACGCCAUAAACGAUGAGAACUAGACGUUGGGGGGGUAAGCCUCUCAGUGUCGCAGCUAACGCGCUAAGUUCUCCGCCUGGGGAGUACGGCCGCAAGGUUG
rnacentral:rRNA from 1 species